UACGUAGGGGGCGAGCGUUGUCCGGAGUACUGGGCGUAAAGCGCACGCAGGCGGUCUGCUAAGUUUGGAGUGACAGUUGGUGGCUUAACUGCCAAAGUGCUUCGAAAACUGACAGACUUGAGGGCUUCAGAGGGACACGGAAUCCGGGUGGAGUGGUGAAAUGCGUAGAGAUCCGGAGGAACACCGACGGCGCAGGCAGCGUCCUGGCCGCUUGCUGACACUGAGGCACGAAAGCUGGGGGAGCAAACAGG
rnacentral:rRNA from 1 species